rnacentral:rRNA from 1 species
AUUGAACGCUGGCGGCAGGCCUAACACAUGCAAGUCGAACGAGUGGCGGACGGGUGAGUAAUGUCUGGGAAACUGCCUGAUGGAGGGGGAUAACUACUGGAAACGGUAGCUAAUACCGCAUACCAUCGGAUGUGCCCAAAUGGGAUUAGCUAGUAGGUGGGUUAAAGGCUCCCUUAGGCGACGAUCCCUAGCUGGUCUUAGAGGAUGACUAGCCACACUGAAAUGGAGAUACGGUCCAGACUCCUACGUGAGGCAGCAGUGGGGAAUAUUGAACAAUGGGCGCAAGCCUAAUGCAGCCAUGCCGCGUGUAUGAAGAAGGCCUUCGGGUUGUAAAGUACUUUCAGCGGAGAGGCGUUACCCGCAGAAGAAGCACCGGCUAACUCCGUGCCAGCAGCCGCGGUAAUUC